AUUUAUCUGGUCAUUGUAUACCUCUAUUUAUCUGGUCAUUAGUUAUCUGUCAUUAGUUACCUCUAUCAUUUAUCAUUAAGUUACCUCUAUCAUUUAUCAUUAAGUUACCUCUAUCAUUUAUCUGGUCAUUAGUUAUCUGGUCAUUAGUUACUCUGUCAUUUAUCUGGUCAUUAGUUACCUCUGUCAUUUAUCUGGUCAUUAGUUACCUCUGUCAUUUAUCUGGUCAUUAGUUACCUGGUCAUUA
rnacentral:lncRNA from 1 species